GUCAGAGUGGCAUAGUGGUUUGAGUGUUGGACUACAACACCAGAGACCAGGAUUUGAUUCCCAGCUCGGCCA